UUUAGUGGAGGCCAAGUAAUGACACAUAUUCCUUGAUGAUUAUUUAUAAUUAAGGACAAAUGUUUAUAGUUAUUGCAAGCUAGUAGUCCUUAUUUGCAAAUAUUAAUAGUUAGUAAAAUAAAUACCCAAAAAUUGGGAUUUUAGGCAUAAACCACUUGAGUUAAAAGAAAGUAGAGAGAAAAAGAAGGAAGAGAGGAAAUAAGAAGAAGAAAGAAAGAGGAAAAAGGAAGGAAAGAUGACUAAAUUAGAGCUGAUUAAAAAGUAAAAACAGAAUAAUGCGUGAUUGAGAAGAACAAUCCGGAAGCGCACAAUAGCACGAACAAGGACAAGGCGUGAGGCAGUGGCAAGAUGAAUGGUGGGAAGACUUGUUCCCGUGACGAGGAUAAGUGUAAUAUCGACCCUGGACUUGUGGGGCAAGAUAUGCAUUGUAAAACAGGUAUGCCGAAGUGGUGUGACGGCCUGGAUCCGAGGGAUACGGAUCUGGGGGCGUUACAGAUUUUAAUAAAAAUUUAAAUAAUCCUUAUUGAAUACAAUCGGAUUUUUAAACAUAA